AGUGAGGGCCCUCCUCGGGGCUGCAUAUGGCAGACGUCUCACUGUAGCUUCACAUGGCUGAAAGAGAGCUAGCUACCUCUGGCUUCUACCUGUAAGGAUGCUGGGAUGGCUAAUUUUACGUUCAACUUUAUGCUAAGGGAUGCCCAGACAGCUGCCGUGUGGAGAGGGUUUCGAUCACGGAGAAGACCCCAAUAUUGCGGAUAUGGUUCAACAGAUAUCUGGAAGGUUGGGCCAUGCAGCCCUGCAGGUCCAAUGAGGAGGACAGCCCACCUAGAGGAUGAAGAUUAAAUCAGAGAACUCAAAGCA